rnacentral:rRNA from 1 species
UACGUAGGGUGCAAGCGUUGUCCGGAAUUAUUGGGCGUAAAGAGCUCGUAGGCGGUUUGUCGCGUCUGCUGUGAAAACUCGGGGCUUAACCCCGGGCCUGCGGUCGAUACGGGCAUCACUGGAGUUCGGCAGGGGAGACUGGAAUUCCUGGUGUAGCGGUGAAAUGCGCAGAUAUCAGGAGGAACACCGGUGGCGAAGGCGGGUCUCUGGGCCGAUACUGACGCUGAGGAGCGAAAGCGUGGGGAGCGAACAGG